rnacentral:lncRNA from 1 species
GAAAGGGUUGGGGGAGGGAACUGUGGCCUUAAGAGAGAAAAGAAGAAUGCGGACCCCUCCGUCCAGGGCUGGAGAGGCCAGGCCUAAAAAGGAAUAAAGAGGCGAGGCUCAGAGAGAAGGAGAGAGGGAGGGGCGUAAGGACCCCAAGCCCAAGGAGAAUAAAGGAGGAGAGGGGGAUGGAGAUUUCAGACCCAGGGAGCAGAUGAGGAAGGGGUAGAGAUCCUAACCUUAGUGAGGGAAGGGGAAGGAGCUGAAGUCAUCAGCCUCAGAGGAAAAGACAAGACCCCUUCCCUCCCCUCAAAUCUGUGGGAAGGAAAGGAACUGCCAGCCGUACUGAGAGGUAAAGGCAUAAAGAGCCCCAGGGCUCCCCUCCCCUCACAUUCAUGGAAGGUCCCUUCCCCAUCCAGCUCAGUCUUUGUUCCAGAGUCUCAAGGACAUGCGACCUAAACUCCCAGCUGGGGCCCCAGCUGCUAUUCGUCUUCAAGAGCGAUGGAGGCAGACCCUAAGCACAAUUGUGAGAAAGGAGGUUCGUCUUCGGUACACAGGCCCCUGGGAUGGUGAGAGUAAGCCGUAUCUGGUCAGUCUGCCCCCACCUGUCUAGACAGGACUAGAGGGGAAGUGAAUAGAACCCCCUAGAAGUGCGAACCAUCGCAUGUCAGAGCUGUAAGGAGCCUUAAAAUUCGGCCCGUUCAUGUUCCUCCCUUUGUAAAGGAGAGAACCAAGAUGCAGAACGGGGAAAGCCCUUGCCAGAUCACCACAGGUCGGGCCUGGACUUGGCAUCUAGGCUGAACAGCGGUGCUUCUAGGCAGUAGCCCAGCCUCUCCAGUGGCUGAAGAGGCUGUGGGAGUGUGCCUGCCCUCCACUCCACCCUACCCACCUCCAGAGAACAGGAAACUCUGCCUUUUGAUUCCCCUCUGUCUCACAAAGGAAGUGUUGACCUUUAGGGGUGGUGAGUCUUCAUUGGGAGCCAAACAUUUGGGCCACACAGUGAGGAUGAAGAAGUUCCCAUUCCCAUCGUUUUCCCUUCACUGUCCCAAACGUUGGUCAGGAAGUCAGACUUGGUCUGGCCCUGACCUGCUGUGGUUUGAAGCAUCAUAAUUUAGUAUUCAUUAUGUGUCAGGGGAAACCUAGAAAAUCAUCCCCUCCCGCUUCUGCUUUCCACAGCUCUGUCAUCUCCCAACCUCAAACAGUGGAUUUCAGAAAAAUAGGCAAAGCCUGAGGUACCCCUCACACCAAGGGUAUUCUGAGCUACUUCAGGAUCCUGUGGAAAAGCUGCAUUAUAAUCGAUAGCCUCAUAAAUAAAUGAAGAGUCAACGCAGCCUGUCUCCUCCAGCUCAGGGCAUCUUCAGGAAAAUCGAACCUCGAGCCACUUCUGCUCACCCAUUCUGGAUUUCUACAGAGGCCUCCAGAGGGAAGGAAUCUUACAGGUCAUCCUGAGCAUCCCCCUGCCUCUGGGCUGGCCUGCCAUGUACCCCAUCCAAGGAGGUCUGCUUGCCACCCCUACCCAGGAAGGCCUGCCCUCUCCUGGCAGACUCCCUUCUCCCAGUCCCCUGGGGCUCUCACUGUGAGUUCUUGCUCACCUUCAUUCUCUUGCUCCUGGUGAACUCCCCCUCUCCUUUCCACCCGGGCCAUUUGCUUCUCACCACUCCUGAUUUCUGACUAUUGCUUGGCACCAAACAGGAUCAGCAGCAGGAGGAAGGGAGUCACUCCCCACUCCUCUGGAGUCUCCUCUCCAUACUCACCCCUCCGACUUCUUGUCAUCAAUUGUAAAUGGGCCCCUUGGGAUCUGACAGAGUAUGCAUUUCUGGAAGCAAUGGACAAAGACCCUUGUAACUUUACAGAACAGAUACGUGCCAGUAAGUUGACUGCAAGGCAAUCCUUCCUCUCUCUGCCUUCUAUUACAUCACUGGAGAUGUUCUUCUCGUGGGAAAAAGGAAAUCUCCAACAAGGAAGUUCAAUAUUUUGGAAUCCAAAGACCAAGAGGGUGGUCAGCCCUGUGUGGUGAUGGGCGUCAGCCUUCUGGGUUCCUUGAAACACCUCAGGACCUCUCCUCUGUUUGAUGCCUUGGUUUCCCCUCCGCUUCCCUGGCCCAGACAGAGAACACUCCCAUGGCUAAGGAUUCUUAAGCGCUGCUUGGGUAGUUAGCAUGGAGAAAGGAGUCAUCUGGUUGUGACAGCCCUCUGUAUUCGUAAUUAUUGACCACCAUGCUCCAGUUGAUCCCUGGGGGCUGAAAACUCCUUUAAUUAAAGGUUUCUGACUACAAGAUACUAUAUCCC